UACGGAGGGGGCUAGCGUUGUUCGGAAUUACUGGGCGUAAAGCGCGCGUAUGCGGACCUGCAAGUCGGGGGUGAAAGCCCGAGGCUCAACCUCGGAACUGCCUUCGAUACUGCGGGUCUCGAGUCCGGGAGAGGUGAGUGGAAUUCCUAGUGUAGAGGUGAAAUUCGUAGAUAUUAGGAAGAACACCAGUGGCGAAGGCGGCUCACUGGCCCGGUACUGACGCUGAGGCGCGAAAGCGUGGGGAGCAAACAGG
rnacentral:rRNA from 1 species